GGGCCCAUAGCUCAGUUGGUUAGAGCGACGGACUCAUAAUCCGUUGGUCCCAGGUUCGAGUCCUGGUGGGCCCA
rnacentral:tRNA from 1 species